ensembl:lncRNA
GGCCCCCUCUCUCCGAACGUCCACCACUCGACCAAGAACCUGUGUGUUGUUUUAUUGUAGUGCAGUGUAGAGUUUUCGCGUGUAUAUCUGGCGUUGUUAUGUCCAUUUUUGUAAGUAGUUGUAAAUAGGUUGUCAAGUCGCGAUCACGCUUUGUUCACCUGAUGUAUAUCCUUCACUGCCGCAGCCUAGUAGGCGUGAGAAGCCAUUUUUGUUGAACAAGUUUUCUCCUGUUUUUUCAUUAGAAAGCUAGGUAAGUGACUUGUCUUUUGUUUGGCUUCUUUUUCAUUUGGUGUAGGGAAGCGUAGGGACCACUAGGGAGUUUUGUUUGUUGUUUUUGGCAUUGCUCACUGCCGACGAAAAUAAAUGGCUGCUUAACACUUUAAAAGGUAUCGUUGUUGGUGUUCUUGCUUGGGUGGGGAAUGAGUGGGCAAACUUCUUGUUGCGUUUAUUUACUCGCCUGGACUAAAAAUGUAACAUAAGUCAUUCUUUUAUGAACAAAACUCAAGACACAGCCUAAUAAAUCUUUCAGUCAUUUCUACCCCCCCAUCCCACAUGCAUACUACCCUUUAGGGCCCUGGGUGUAUAACAUGUCUGGCUCUGCCUCUGGAGUCAACAGUAUCCAUGACACACAACGUAACGUUCGAUAAUGUGUCAUAUGCAAAAGCAUCAGGUCUAAGAGCCGUGCUUACAGAGUGCUUUGUAGUCAAUCAGAAGAGUCGACUCCCAUUGAGCGAGAGCCGCUCCUCACUUAAUUUCCUUUCGCUGCCCAGCUCUCACACACUGGCUCAGCUAUGCUCGAAUACCUCCAUAUUGUGGCCAAUCACAUGCGUGGAUAUAGGAUAAUAUCAUUAUGUGAAAAACAGAGGGUGAGAGACGCGACAGUCAAGUGGAGCGUGCAUCUGUCCUCUCAGUGAGUGAGACAGUGGACAGCGGUGAGGAGGGCUGUACGAAAGCAAAAACACAUAAAUAUGCCGACACCCGUAAACAAAGCAGCAUCUGACUGCAGUUUAAAGACUUUUUUGUCUCAACUUGGUCUUGUCUUUGUUUCGGUUUAGGCAGUCUUGACCACAAGUCUACAUGGAGCUGAAAUAUGAUCCUGCUUCCUCAUUUGGACUCAUUCACCUCAGCUGACACGUUCAACAGUAGACAGGUUUUUGUAGCAGUCUGUCUCACUGUGGGAGGAAACGGCUACCUAUUCUUUGUCUCUGGAACUAAACUCUAUGUAACAGAUGAGCAGGUAGUGAAGCCCGUGGUGAGCGUGUACCCAGCAGCAUCCAGAGCCCACCUGGAGGGGAACAGCUCCCUGCUGUGUGUGGCCUCAGCCAUGUUUCCUCCUCUGGUCCAGUUCUCCUGGAAAAGACAGAAGAAGAACGGCGGAGAAGCGGAGGAGCUGCCCCCUGCUGAGGGAGAGCAGCUGGAGCUCAGAGAGGCGGGACGCACCAUUGCCAUCAGGAUGCUUGAUGGGAGCCAUUCUGACACAUAUAAAUACAGCUGCUGGGUGAAGCACGAGGGGGGCACAGUGGAGGCCCGAACACAACAAGUGUCCUUCCAGUCUCAGUGCAGGGUGAAGCUGCUCUGCCUGCUAUACACAGUGCUGAUAGUGAAGAGUCUGGUGUACUGCUGUGGACUCUCUCUGCUGAUGAUGCUCACAAACAAGGGAGCGUCCACCAACUGCACACAUGCUGACUGACUGUUUCCUGCUCGCCUUUUCUCACCAUCACAUCUCAUCAAUUCAUCUCAUUCAUCACUUUGAUCACAAAUGUUAGUUAUGAUGUGUUGAGCUUAUUUUGCCUUUUUCUUCAACAGUUAGAAGAUCGUCUGAAAUAAAUACAUCUUUACAUGUAUUGUUGCUCUGAGUUAGAAUUCUUUUUGUGCUUAUUGUGACUUUUAUUGUAGUAACAAAAACCAUCAGGAAUAUUUUUAUCACAAGUUUUUGUUUGAUUUUCAAAUGUCAAACAGUGUAGUUGUGUUUGUGUGAACAAUAAAGAUUUGAAGAUGAAGAG